rnacentral:rRNA from 1 species
UACGGGCUAANUAGAGUGCAGUAGGGGAGACUGGAAUUCCUGGUGUAGCGGUGGAAUGCGCAGAUAUCAGGAGGAACACCGAUGGCGAAGGCAGGUCUNUGGGCUGUAACUGACGCUGAGAAGCGAAAGCAUGGGGAGCGAACAGGAUUAGAUACCCUGGUAGUCCAUGCCGUAAACGUUGGGCACUAGGUGUGGGGGACAUUCCACGUUUUCCGCGCCGUAGCUAACGCAUUAAGUGCCCCGCCUGGGGAGUACGGCCGCAAGGCUAAAACUCAAAGAAAUUGACGGGGGCCCGCACAAGCGGCGGAGCAUGCGGAUUAAUUCGAUGCAACGCGAAGAACCUUACCAAGGCUUGACAUAUACUGGACUGCGUCAGAGAUGGCGUUUCCCUUCGGGGCUGGUAUACAGGUGGUGCAUGGUUGUCGUCAGCUCGUGUCGUGAGAUGUUGGGUUAAGUCCCGCAACGAGCGCAACCCUCGUUCUAUGUUGCCAGCACGUGAUGGUGGGGACUCAUAGGAGACUGCCGGGGUCAACUCGGAGGAAGGUGGGGAUGACGUCAAAUCAUCAUGCCCCUUAUGUCUUGGGCUUCACGCAUGCUACAAUGGCCGGUACAGAGGGUUGCGAUACUGUGAGGUGGAGCUAAUCCCUAAAAGCCGGUCUCAGUUCGGAUUGGGGUCUGCAACUCGACCCCAUGAAGUCGGAGUCGCUAGUAAUCGCAGAUCAGCAACGCUGCGGUGAAUACGUUCCCGGGCCUUGUACACACCGCCCGUCAAGUCACGAAAGUUGGUAACACCCGAAGCCGGUGGCCUAACCCUGGUGGGGGG